GGGUCUGUCGGCUCGCCCUCCCCUCGCCGCCUAAGCCUUUCCUCCGCCGGCUGGGUCCCCUCCCCACAGCAACACGGCUUCUCUUCCAGCGCUCGGCGACAGGGGCUUCCCCUCAGCCGCCGCCGGCACCGCCGCCGCCGCCGCCGCCGCCGCCGCCGGCCGAGCUCCGCCGCGCCCGCGGCCCGCGGCCGCCAUGCAGUUUAUGUUGCUUUUUAGUCGUCAGGGAAAGCUUCGACUGCAAAAAUGGUAUGUCCCACUAUCAGACAAAGAGAAGAAAAAGAUUACAAGAGAACUUGUUCAAACCGUUUUAGCACGGAAACCUAAAAUGUGCAGCUUUCUUGAGUGGCGUGAUCUGAAGAUUGUUUACAAAAGAUAUGCUAGUCUGUAUUUUUGCUGUGCUAUCGAGGAUCAGGACAAUGAGCUAAUUACCCUGGAAAUAAUUCAUCGUUAUGUGGAAUUACUUGACAAGUAUUUUGGCAGCGUAUGUGAACUUGAUAUCAUCUUUAAUUUUGAGAAGGCUUAUUUUAUUUUGGAUGAAUUUCUUUUGGGAGGGGAAGUUCAGGAAACAUCCAAGAAAAAUGUCCUUAAAGCAAUUGAGCAGGCUGAUCUACUGCAGGAGAGCCAGAAUGAAGAAUGGGGAGGUUUGUCUGAGGAUAUCUUAUGAUAAAGAGCAGUCUAAGGCUUUAGUCCUUUUGACCCCCAACUUAUUUAUUGGAAGCUGAAACCCCACGUAGUGUUCUUGAAGAAAUUGGACUGACAUAACUCUCCUCCCUUGUUGAUGACUUCUUGUGGCAUUUCACACACUGUAGAUGGUCACUGCCUUCAUGUCCAUGUUAGCUAAUGGUAUAAGAUGACGUCUUGUCAGUAUUACUGUUUUGCUAAAGCUGCUUCAUUCAGGCCUACACAAUUUUUUUUUAAGGGAACUUUGGUUAAUCAAGGGAUAAGGAAUUUAAAUACAAAUUAGAAUGAUGCAGAAAAAGAAAGGUACCUUUUCUGGAUAUUUUAAAGUUUAUAGAAUCUGUUUCUCUCAAUCUGAUCAUGUAUCUAUGAGAAUAACACACAAUCAGGCAAUAUACAUUAAUUAAUCACCGUCUUUGGCAAAGGCAACUGUUAAAUUAGAAUAUGAAACCUGGUUUUAUGAAACCAAAGACUAGCGUGUAGCAUUUCAGUAUAUAUGAGAAUAAAGGGAACUGAUACAUAUCAAAUGAAUUAAAAUUUAACUGUUGAGACUUUAAGAAAAAAAAAAAGAACCAAAUUUAUACCAAAGAUCCUUAUUGGAAACUAUAUACUUAAAAGGGAAUACACAAAUGACUAAAUUGAAAUGAUGUGUUUUACACUAAAAUUAUUUCUCCGGCAUUCCAAACCGGGGACGAGGAACAGAGGUUGUUUAAUAGUGAGCAUGUUAUGUUUAAAGCUAAGGAACAUUCAACUCGAGACAGAUUUUUUUGUGGUCAUAACCAUUUAGUGACUUAAAUGGUUUUUUGAUGCCCCCAAGUAAAAUGGAAAGACUGACCUACCAGAAUUCUUCAUAACAGUAUCUUACGGAAAAUGUGUUCUCGUCACAAAGUGUUGCCUAAGUCAUUGUUUAAAGCACGAAUAUUACUCCUGGGGUGCUUUUGCUUCCCUCCACUUGUAAGUGCUGCAAACUUUAGGGCAGCUUCCUUCCCUUCCAUGGCACUGCCUAGUUAGCAGAAAUGUUAAAAAGCAGACACCACCUUUCAUGUAAAAUUGAGAGUUGAAUGAAGUAAAAUGGCAUUAGUGGGCCCUAUGUUUUCUUAAAGCUAUACAAUUGUUUCAGUGUCACUUUUAUACAUACUUUAAUGUAUGUAAACGUAUCUUCAUGAUUUAUACUUUCAUUUGUAUCUGCUGGGCUGGAUUAAGCUUUGUUGUGAUUGUGACCAAUACAUUCAGGCCAUGUUAGCACUGUCUUAUCACAUCACCAAUUAGUUGUAAUAAAUGUUCAAUGUACACCACUGUAGUGUGUUUUUAUCUUUCUCUUUACAAAAGUCUGUCAAACUAUGGGGAGCUGCUGAAAGAAUUUUAAAGUUUUUUCAGUAAAAUGUUGAAAAUUCACCUCCAUUUGAAGGUGGUUGCUAAAAGCACACACGAGAUAAAUGAUGGAAGAUGUAAGGAGUUUUCAUGUACUUUGAGCUCACUAGGAAAUAAUGUGGCUUCCACGCUGAGAGCUUAUCUACACAUUUAUUUUCAAUCAAUAAAUGCCGCUUUUAAAACCUU